GAAAUAUUUAAGUUUGCUAGGGCUCAAGUACGGAAACAGGCUCCAAAUCUCAAGCACCCACUGGUUUGCAUUGAUGUUGUUGAAAUGGGUGUAGUCUCGGGUCCCCGUGCUGGACUUUGGAAGGAGAUUGAAGAUUUUCAAGUACUACUACAUGCUGAUACCAGUAAAAGCUUGAUUCAUGUAUUUUUUGCUCAGCGUGGAACAACAAAGGUACCUGG
rnacentral:misc_RNA from 1 species